rnacentral:rRNA from 1 species
GAUAUGAACCGUUAUAACCGGCGAUACCCGAAUGGGGAAACCCAGUGUGAUUCGUCACACUAUCAUUAACUGAAUCCAUAGGUUAAUGAGGCGAACCGGGGGAACUGAAACAUCUAAGUACCCCGAGGAAAAGAAAUCAACCGAGAUUCCCCCAGUAGCGGCGAGCGAACGGGGAGGAGCCCAGAGCCUGAAUCAGCAUGUGUGUUAGUGGAAGCGUCUGGAAAGGCGCGCGAUACAGGGUGACAGCCCCGUACACAAAAGCGCAUGUGCUGUGAGCUCGAUGAGUAGGGCGGGACACGUGGUAUCCUGUCUGAAUAUGGGGGGACCAUCCUCCAAGGCUAAAUACUCCUGACUGACCGAUAGUGAACCAGUACCGUGAGGGAAAGGCGAAAAGAACCCCGGCGAGGGGAGUGAAAAAGAACCUGAAACCGU